GAGCUCAGUGGUGGAUCAUCUGUUUGGCAUUCAGAAGGUCCUUGCUUCAAUUCCUGGCAUCUCCA